rnacentral:SRP_RNA from 1 species
CGACAGGUAGGAUCGGGAGGAUAGUCGUCUCCCAUUGUCCUGAAACCGACUAUAUGCAGGGGUCAGUAACCGUCGGGUAAAACGCGGGCAGGUUCGUACUGUCCCGGCCUACGGGGACGAAUCCACGCCACGUCGGGCUGUCACAGGAGCGUGCUCUUCGAAGGGAGGGUUCCGACUCUGAACCAUCGAAUCGGGCGAGAUCCGGGAGGGAGCAACCCUAAGGUGGAAUGGCUGCGCUAGCGUGUCUACGCGGAGGACUCGUAAAGCUGGGAUAAAGGCAUCCGGCUCACGCGAACACUGUUGGAGCUGUCG